CCCGCCUCCGGACCGCACCCCGACUCUGGGCAGCCGGCCCCUGCUCGGUGCUGGCCCCACCUUGCAGCGCCAGGACCCCCGCGGGCCUCUCCCCCACCUUCCCAGCCCUGCCCUCUCCCCUGGGUCAGAGGCAAGGAGGAGAGAAACUGACUUAACUUGGGGGAGGGGCAAUACUUUGCAUUUAUGCUAACUCAGCAGUUCUCUCCCAGGGUCCCCGGGGAGAACGUGAGCAGGUUUCUGGGGCUCCAUCAAAAUAAACCAGAGAGCGAGACUAGCGUCAGACUCGCUGGGGGUGGGGAAGAAAGCUGAAGCAUGAGCAACUUAAUUGUGGGCCCCCCCCCCCGAUGGUGUGGGGCCCUGGGCAAUUGCCCUGUUUGCCACCCUCUAAUGCCGUAGGGUUAUGAGACACCCAGAUUCCCACCAGAACACCCAGUUGAAAAGGGACCGUGGUGGCUAUGGUCAGAGACCAUUAAAAGUCCAGGUGGCCAUUAAAAGUCCAAUUGGCAGCACAGCGAGGCUAAGCCAGGCUCCCUGGUUCCACACAUCUCUUGGAAGCAACCUGCAUGUCUCUACAGUCCCUAAGCACAGGUGUGAUCAGGAAAGCUCCAUGUGCUGCCCCCCACCCUGAGCAUCACCUCCACAGCUCCCAUGGGCCAGAAACCACGGCUAAUGGAGAUGGCACCUCCACCUAGAAGCCAGACUUAGUGGCUACUUCCAGGAGCAGUGCAGAGCCAGGGCAAGCAAGGAGCCUGCUGCCGACCAGAAGCCACCUGAGUGGACUGGCACCAGUGCAGCUCAACAGUGGGAGCACUAGUGGAGACAGGCUGCCAACAUUUUAACUACUGUGUCAACAGCAUUCCGUGGGAUCCGUGUCCACAACUGGCGUAUGUAGUGGCUGGAAGUUUCCUGAUAAAUGGCGGAGAUGGGAAAGCUGUAAUGUACCCAACCUGGACCAUGAUGCCGCCAUCGCCAUUUGGUUCUGGUUAUAAACUGUUCAUGGCAGAGUGGAGCUUCUGAUGUCCCUCAUGCAUCUAUUUUUAGUGAAGUACAUCUCAGGGGCAGACCAAAUGAGGCUGUUUGUGUUUCUGUUUACUGUAUUUGCAAGCAAUGCUUUCUCUUUAUCUUGACAGAAGAUAAGUUUAAAUGUUUGUCCCAGUCUUUAGUCACCAUAGCAAAGGAAGAGAAAACAUAUGUACAGGAAACACAGAAAGCAAUAGCAGAGAUAAAAAGAGUAAAUUAACAUUACCCUCAUUGUAGGAAACUCAUUAGAGGACAGAGAAACUUGUGUUCCUACUAACCUGGAUCUUCCGUGAUUUCUCAGUUCUCAGACUUCAAGCCAAGUCUUUCUCUAACCUGCACCUCACUGGAGCCCUAUGGAAAAAUAGGGACAUACAACUUGAUAGUUUCUUGUUAACUUCAUUUCUGAACUGAAGGCAAAACCCGAACUAUUCUGGCUGACCUCUAGCCAAUGUAUCCAUUUCAUCAACUCAGCCCCGCAUUCAACCUCCUCAUUCACACAGGCAAGACUCUGGGGACUUAUAUCAGCAUCUCCUGCCAUCAACUCCAGAAUGUCUUGGGGACCAGCGUUCGCACAGAAAGGGCCAGUUAAAAAGCCAUGUUUUAGAUGACAUUCCAACAUCUCCUUGGGAGCCAAUGUGUGAAGAGAAGACUAUUAGGUCUGUCAAACCAUUCUUGCCUUUACUUGUUAAAGAGGAUUUAAUGAGGAGGUUUUUACUGAUCUAUUGUGAAGGUUGCUGGAGGCUGGACGCUUUACUCCAAAAGGUAAAGGCAGCAACAUUGCAUCAGGAA